GUCCUCGUAGCUCAAAUGGUAGAGCACCUGAGUUGUAUUCAGGAAGACCUAGGUUCAAUUCCUCAGCGAGGGCU
rnacentral:tRNA from 1 species